ACAGCAGCCGCCACGGUAAUACGUAGGUGGCAAGCGUUGUCCGGAAUUAUUGGGCGUAAAGGGCUCGCAGGCGGUUUCUUAAGUCUGAUGUGAAAGCCCCCGGCUCAACCGGGGAGGGUCAUUGGAAACUGGGAAACUUGAGUGCAGAAGAGGAGAGUGGAAUUCCACGUGUAGCGGUGAAAUACGUAGAGAUGUGGAGGAACACCAGUGGCGAAGGCGACUCUCUGGUCUGUAACUGACGCUGAGGAGCGAAAGCGUGGGGAGCGAACAGGAUUAGAUACCCCAGUAGUCCCUGUCUCUUAUAA
rnacentral:rRNA from 1 species